rnacentral:tRNA from 1 species
GGAGAUAAAGCUCAAGUGGUAGAGUGCAUGCUUAGUAUGCAUGAAGUUCUGGGUUCAAUCCUCAGUACCUCCA